rnacentral:misc_RNA from 1 species
GAAAUGCGAUAAGUAAUGUGAAUUGCAGAAUUCAGUGAACCAUCGAAUCUUUGAACGCACAUUGCGCCCCUCGGGUCUCCCGGGGGGCAUGCCUGUCCGAGCGUCAUGCUUCCUGUCGGGCCCCCGCUGUGGGGCCCGGAGUUGGGACCCGCGUGUGCCCCGGAGAUGGGGCGACGCGGGCCCGAAAUGAAGUGGAGUCCACCUGAGGACGAGAAGCGACCAAGGCCUCUGCCAUCGCUCCCCCUUCCGCAGGGCUGGGCUCCUACCUCCUCGAAGGCUGGCUCACACCGGCUUGAGGGGACGUCUAGUCACAACGCGACCGACCUCGGAUCAGGUAGGGAUACCCGCUGAACUUAA